rnacentral:rRNA from 1 species
UAGGGAAUCUUCGGCAAUGGACGAAAGUCUGGCCGAGCAACGCCGCGUGAGUGAAGAAGGUUUUCGGAUCGUAAAACUCUGUUGGUAGUGAAGAACGUUGGUGAGAGUGGAAAGCUCAUCAAGUGACGGUAACUACCCAGAAAGGGACGGCUAACUACGUGCCAG